ensembl:lncRNA
GUCGCCUUGUCCGCAGGCAGAGUUGGGAUCACACCAGCUCUUUGCUCUCCCAUCUCUCGGGUCGCCCCCUCCUGGGCCUGAAGCCCCAGGGAGAGACACCCUGCUUUGCAACCUGCGCCCCCCGGUGUACGGGGCUGUGUUUUGCUGUUGCUAUAGGGCACUUAGAGACCCCAGCCGUGGCCAAGUACGUGUCUCCAUGGUUCUCACGCCGUUCGCGGUUCCCACAACCUCCCUCACACCUGGCUGAGCUCCGGAACAACAGAAAAACAGUGCUGGGGCUGAAAACAGCCUCCUCACACCUCUGUGGUGUGUAGCUUUAGAGACGCACCUCUAAAGCCUGCAUCUUAGAGACGCUGAGACUCACAGAGGUCACGGCAUUUUCUCAGGUGUCCCCAGCUGGUGAGUAGAAAGGUAAGGGCCAGAACCCGGGUCCGCAGGCUCUCCCCCUGGUGUGUUUUUCUACGAUAGCAUUGCAUGUGCACCCGUGUACCUGGGGUUCACCUUGGAAAUGCGUCGGGCCCAGGGGGUAAAUGCACCCGGGAUUCGUGCCCACACUGGGCCUCUGAAGACUGGGUCGGAGAUUAGGAGGGUCUGUAAGAGCUCUCUUUACAGGCCAAAGCACGUGGGCUCAAUUUUCAGGGCGAGGAUGGUUAGGGGGAAUGCAGGACUUAAGUGUCACAAGGGACCCCGCUGCACCUCCUUGCAGGGCUCCGGGCACGUGGAGUCCAAGCCAGAGAGACCAGAGCAGCGUGCUGACUCCCCGCCCAAGCCUCCAUCCCAGGCCUGCCCUUCGGCUCACUGCCGUGUUUCCAAGACGUGGAAUGGGCUUACAAGGAAUGAGUCGUGGGACAUGCUACUCCUGCCUUGUCUCCCAGACCAUGGAAGUCCAGGGAUCCACAGACUCCUCCUCUAAGUCCUACAUCUCAAAAACCAUCAGCCAGACUGUGAAUUGAAGGAAAGACGCAAGCUCCUGGCAAGUCCUGAAGAUUCCUGCCCAGGAACCAGCAAGCAUGUGCCUUUGUCCUUGCUGAUGCUGUAGAGGUUUGCUCUACUUCCCAUCCAAGAUAUUUUCUUAUCGGUGGACUAGGUGAUACCUUCUUUUCUUUUCCUUCUUUCACAUCUGAUCUAUCCUUGCCAGCAGAAGGAGCGCAUCCAAGUCUGUGCUUCUAAACCAGAAUGGCUUGGUUGGCAUCUCCAUCUCCCUCUGGACCGUACGUGACAUGAAGGCCCACACCGGUCAUGUCCCUACUGUCCCACAGCGAGGGAUGCACACGAGGGGAGGGCUUAAAGCUGAGUGCCUGUGGGGAAGACAGCUGUGGGGACCGAUGCCCAUUCCAGAGAACGAGUUCAAUUCUGUCCCCGGCAUUUGCAGACAGCAGGGAGACUCCUCCAAGCAGCAUCACCGUGGGCUGUCAUAGCUGAGUCUAGAGCCAGGGUGAGGCGCUAGGAGCAGGAGCGAAGAUCUGCAGCAGAGGUGACAGUUGAGGACCCGAGGGAGGGACCACUCUCAGAGGAGUAAGGGAAAGGAAGAAACCAGGGUUGGCUCUUGGAGGACCACCCCAGGUCUUUCUGCCACGAAGGACGGGGCGGGGGAGGGGACCCACAGGCACCAACUGUCCGUGCAGACAGGGCCUGAAUUAGACCCCAAAAUGAUGGUCCUAAUAGUGAACACUUAUUGAAAACUGAUUAUGGGCUACAUCUUGCUUCAAGUAUUUGAUGUCUAUCAUUUCAGCAAAUCCCGGUGACGACCGUCUGUGGUAUGGCCCCACUCUCCAGGUAAAGAAACGAAGCACAGAGAGUUUAAAUUAUAUGCCCGAGAUCAUAAAGCUGCUAAGUGUUCAGCCUCAAGAGCACUCCACACCCUCUUCCUUGACAUCUUCCCACUAAUUUUAGUUACUGAUUUCUUUUCUAUAAUCUGUUGAUCACCCCAUUUCACUGGAUCCACACAGAAAAAAAAUCACAGUAUAUCCCAUUUGACAUUCCAGCCCUGACUUUCUUCAGGCCAGUCCAAAAGCUGUUAAUGCAAUUACCGCUUGAAUCUAGAGGAGAAAGAAAUACUCCCAUCUAUUCACGUUGCAGUUGUUACUAUCUGGUCACCAGAGAGUGACCUUUCAGGUGACACAAGAGCUACACCCAAUUAAGAGAGAUGAUUCCUUGAAAGCCCAAGGCCACGAAUAAUUGAAACCCUCCAGCCAGAGCAGAGGCAGGUCAGAGCAGGGUUUCCUUAGUAGAUAAAUUAGGCCAUGGUAACUUCACGAAAAACCUAUUCCCUGUGGUUUCUGUUGCCACUGCUUCCUUUAGGAUCACGAUUGCAAGAAGAACACGGGAUUUUUCUCAGUCAGGGGCUGUGGGACAAUAACGUAUAUAUCAUAAUAUGUAACAUAAUAAAAAUAUAUCAUGUAUUUAUAUACA